UGGGGAAUUUUGGACAAUGGACGCAAGUCUGAUCCAGCCAUGCCGCGUGCGGGAAGAAGGCCUUCGGGUUGUAAACCGCUAUUUUCAGGGAAGAAACGCUCUGGGCUAAUACCCUGGGGUAAUGACGGUACCUGAAGAAUAAGCACCGGCUAACUACGUGCCAGCAGCCGCGGUAAUACGAAGGGUGCAAGCGGUAAUCGGAAUUACUGGGCGUAAAGAGUGCGCAGGCGGUUAUGCAAGACAGAUGUGAAAUCCCCGGGCUCAACCUGGGAACUGCCUUUGUGACUGCAUAUCUAGAGUACGGUAGAGGGGGAUGAAAUUCCGCGUGUAGCAGUGAAAUGCAUAGAUAUGCGGAGGAACAACGAUGGCGAAGGCAAUCCCCUGGACCUGUACUGACGCUCAUGCACGAAAGCGUGGGGAGCAAACA
rnacentral:rRNA from 1 species